CCUAGCCUUCAACUUCUGGGAGCCCUCACAAUAGGGUGUCUCUAACUCCUUUGCCUACUUUUUGGUCCCUUUUCUUCCUAAUGGAUUUCCUUUUCCUGACUUUAUAUGAAGGAUAAUAUGUAACUUUUCCUGGGGAGGUGGGAAUACAUAUGACUUCACUAACAGAUGUGGAACUAAUAACAAUAAGGACAUCAUCAUCAUCAUUAUCAAUGACAACAACAACAACAAGAACAGCAAAAUAAAAUUAUCACAUCCAUGUCUACCUUGAUGAAAUAAAUCAGGUUGUCAUGACUGCCCACUGAAAGACUCAACAAGCAACUGAGUCAGAUGGAGAUAUUUGCACCCAAUCAAUGGAUAGAAGCAGCUGACCUCUGUUGUUGAA